UCCUCUAACUUUCAAGCUACCUCAGAGGAGGCACUUGCCAGCGAGACCUCGGCGUCGGCCUCUUUUCAUUCGGCACAUCCCAUGAUCUGCAACAACCGUCUUUAUUAUUAUUGCAAUCGACUUUAACUAGCUCGCGUACACAUUGUGCAAAUGUUGCUCGUGUUUGUGGUAUGCGACGUCACAAAUAAAUUAUAUCGAUAAUAUGACGGAUAAUGGCACAGCUAAAACUAAGACGAAGAACACGAGAAGCGGAGAUGAGGCGCAGAAUAGAAGAAAACCUGCCACGCCGAACAUGUAACGCAGGAGCAAUAGAAAACAGGAACUAGAUAUUAAGCAAGUGUCCAUGCACGAGGAAAUUAGUAUAUUGAGUUCGUUUUGUCGUUCAUAUUAAAUGGCAGGGAAUAGUGAGAAAUAGGAAAACAAACACCGAAAGACAUAAAGGGGAGUAUGAACCGGAGGACACUGUGACUGGAAGAGUAAAUCUAGGAGAAAAUAUCAAAAGUUCCAAGGAACCCACAAA